UAAAUUUUAAAUUCAAACAGGCUGACGCUACCAAAUAUGUCGAUACUUGGUGAUCAAUCCAAAACCUCUGACCCCCAAAAGAAGAUCCAAAACCCAAAUAAUUUUCCCACACCAUUUCUCUAAAUUCUGCUAUCGAAACAUCAUGAGUUUUCUCGCGGGAAGGCUAGCAGGAAAAGAAGGCGCCUUCUUUUUCCAGGAAUCCAAACAAGCCGUCAACCGUUUGGUCGAGAAAACCCCCAAAAACCUCCCAUCAAACCCACCGUCGCUUGGGCAACAAACUCAAGCUGACGUCCUUCCUGAGGUCCUCAAGCAUUCUUUGCCUUCUAAGAUCUUCAGGCAACCCUCCGAUGCUUCGUCUCUAUCGAGGUCCUCCAAGUGGGCCCUCCAUCCUCAUCCAACCAAUGCCUCCAGUUCUUCCCCUGAUGCCUUGAACCCUCUCAGGGCUUAUGUUUCGCUACCCCAGGUUACUUUUGGCCCCAAAAGGUGGGAGUUGCCAACAACGGAACAUUCAACCAUGGCAUCGACGGCUAAUGAAUUGCGGAAGGACAAAUAUACGCCUCUCAAUCCGGAGAAGUUGAAAGCUGCUGCUGAAGGACUGAAGCGAAUUGGAAUGGCUUUUAUAGUUGCAACUACAAUGGUAUUCGGUGGAGCCGCCUUGAUGUUUGGGAUUGCAGCCUCCAAGUUGGAGUUGCACAGUGUGAGCAUUACUUAUUACACCCUUAUUGAUAACUUUCUCAGCUCUCUGUUUUUUUGGCUUAAAAGUGCGAUGAAAUACAUCGUCAAUUUCUGUUUAUAUGGCUCAAAACCAUUGGAUAUCUAUGGUUGUAGAGUGUUUUAUCACCAUUUUUCCAGUUUCUUUUUUAUUGCCGUUCUUGUCAUAUUUAUAGAGAUUUGUCAUUCUCCACCUGAUGGUUUUUUAGGAACUUGGUCUUAUCAAUGUUAACAAAUUCUGCAAUAGGGUUGGGUUACUCUUUAAUCGUUAUUGAAAUCUGCAUGCUAAUUGGCACGUCUUCAACACUAAUGCAUUUUCCCUCAUCAGUGUGAUGCCAUUAUGUGUUAGUCUGAUGACAUGCUUGUCAAAGUAACAUUUCAGCAUAAAUAAGUUGCUUCCAAACCAAAUCAGGGGCUAAUUUAACACAAUGAUGGAACUGUAAUUCAAUGUUAUUUCAUGCUUUUGAGUAUCCAUAUUCUCCAUGACAUGUUCCAUUUGAGUAUGCUAGUCUUUUCCCAUGUGUAUUUAGUUAGGAAAUGCUCCGAUACAGAGAAAUGUUUUUUUUUCCUUUUUUCUUUUUAUUUUUGUUAUCUUCUGCUUUUGGCAGAGUGAUGAUGUCAGAACAAAAGGAAAAGACCUGGUUCAGCCUAAAUUUGAAAUGAUUAGAGAACAGCUUGUUCCUCUAAGAACUUGGGCCGAAAACACAUCGAAGAAAUGGCACCUGGAAAGGGAGGACGCUAUUAAAGAUAAACCCAUCAUAAAGGAGCUUUCUAAAA